rnacentral:tmRNA from 1 species
GGGGGUGGACGGAUUCGACUCGGCCGGAGAACCGCAUGCGGACCGGCCGUGGACCAGGGUUCGACUCCCUGCACCUCCA